CUGUACAAGCUCUCGCCUGCCGCCAUGUAAACGUUCUUUGCUCCUGCUUCGUCUUCUGCCGUGAUUGUGAGGCCUCCCCAGCCAUGUGGAACUACUCAUCACUCACUGCAGAUGUUACUUUAAGACAUUCUGGAGCAGCGUCAUGUGCAGGAGAAAAUAGUAUCAUCUCAGCCUUCUAUGAAAUCAAGGCAAUAUGUGCGUAGUGCCUCCGCCCAUCUCUCUCUUGCUCCUGGUCUCAUCGUGACGGGCCUGGUCCUGCCUCACUUUAUGCCACGACUAAGAGCUCCCUGAGGCCUCUCCAGAAGCAGAUAUCACUAUGCUUCCUACACAGCCUGCAGAACCUUCUCUUGCCUGCCACCAUGUAAGAUAUGCUUUUACUCUUCCGCCUUCCACCGUGACUGUGAGGCCUCCCCAGCCAUGUGAAACUGCCUUUGAGCUUAUACUGAAUUAUACCACCAGCUUUCCUAGGUCUUGAAGCUUACAGACAGCAGAUCUUGGGACUUCUCAGGCACCAUAAUCAAUCAUAGAUAAAUGAUCCAAUGAUUCGGAACUUGAAAAGUGGUAGCUUUAUGAAUUCUCCUUAAGAAGAAACCUGUGCCCUGAUCUUGCCUACUCACCCAAAGGCACUGUGAGAUAGCAUCAAAGGAACAGCUAGUAAGAGACACAGAGCCAGAAAUCAGGGAAGUAAAAUACACUUGACAUCUACGUUCGGAAAGAAAUUUUAGGAGGCAGAAGCAAAUGGAUCAGAAGCUGCUUAUAUUUUUGCAAGAUUACCAAAGAAACCAUUGGUGGAGAAAGUUCUGUGACCAACUUGUCUGAGUCUAGUAAGAUUGAACGCUCACACACAAGUUUCAUGAAGUGGGUUUGAUACUUACAGAUAAGCAGCAAGGACCAACAGAAGCUGAUGAUCUAUGGUGAACUUUUUCCCAAGGCUCCGGAAAGCUGCCUAAAGUAGAUGGAGUCUUCUCUGUGUGUGCCCCACUGGUCCUGCAGUUGAAGGAUCCGGUAAAGCAGCCUGCCCUUGGUUUUAUACUCCAGAGGAACGUGAUUCGCUGGACUAAAGCAUUGAAGUGCAUCCUGUUUCCGGGGGGCACUGGAACAGAGCCUGGUCUGUUCUAGCCAGUCCCUUUCUAUCUCAGGAUAACAUUCUACAGUUAUUCUUGAGAACUAUAAUCAAAUAAGCAGGGAGAACUGGGUAAGUCCAAGGCUUAUCUAUACAAGCCUUUAAAUAUUCAAGACCAAAAAAAAAAAAAAAAAAAAAAAAAAAA
ensembl:lncRNA LINC02241 long intergenic non-protein coding RNA 2241